GUGCCAGAAGCCGAGGUAAUACGUAGGUGGGAAGCGUAGUCCGGAUUUAUUGGGCGUAAAGCGAGCGCAGGCGGUGUCUUAAGUCUGAUGUGAAAGCCUUCGGCUCAACCGAAGAAGUGCAUCGGAAACUGGGAAACUUGAGUGCAGAAGAGGACAGUGGAACUCCAUGUGUAGCGGUGAAAUGCGUAGAUAUAUGGAAGAACACCAGUGGCGAAGGCGGCUGUCUGGUCUGUAACUGACGCUGAGGCUCGAAAGCAUGGGUAGCAAACAGGAUUAGAUACCCUGGUAGUCCAUGCCGUAAACGAUGAGUGCUAGGUGUUGGAGGGUUUCCGCCCUUCAGUGCCCCAGCUAACGCAUUAAGCACUCCCCCUGGGGAGUACGACCGCAUGGUUGAAACUCAAAGGAAUUGACGGGGGCCCGCACAAGCGGUGGAGCAUGUGGUUUAAUUCGAAGCAACGCGAAGAACCUUACCAGGUCUUGACAUCCUUUGACCACUCUAGAGAUAGAGCUUUCCCUUCGGGGACAAAGUGACAGGUGGUGCAUGGUUGUCGUCAGCUCGUGUCGUGAGAUGUUGGGUUAAGUCCCGCAACGAGCGCAACCCUUAUUACUAGUUGCCAGCAUUUAGUUGGGCACUCUAGUGAGACUGCCGGUGACAAACCGGAGGAAGGUGGGGACGACGUCAAAUCAUCAUGCCCCUUAUGACCUGGGCUACACACGUGCUACAAUGGAUGGUACAACGAGUUGCGAGACCGCGAGGUUUAGCUAAUCUCUUAAAACCAUUCCUCAGUUCGGAUUGUAGGCUGCAACUCCCCUACAUGAAUCCGGAAUCGCUAGUAAUCGCGGAUCAGCAUUCCGCGGUGAAUACGUUCCCGGGCCUUGUACACACCGCCCGU
rnacentral:rRNA from 1 species